UACGAAGGGACCUAGCGUAGUUCGGAAUUACUGGGCGUAAAGCGCGCGUAGGCGGCUAGGUAAGUCGAUUGUGAAAGCCCAAAGCUUAACUUUGGAAUUGCAAUCGAAACUACUUAGCUAGAGUAUAAUAGAGGAAAGCGGAAUACAUAGUGUAGAGGUGAAAUUCGUAGAUAUUAUGUAGAACACCAGUUGCGAAGGCGGCUUUCUGGAUUAUUACUGACGCUGAGGUGCGAAAGUAUGGGUAGCGAAGAGGAUUAGAUACCCUCGUAGUCCAUACCAUAAACAAUGAUUGUUAGAUGUGGGAAAUUUAUUUUCUGUAUCACAGCUAACGCGUUAAACAAUCCGCCUGGGGAGUACGACCGCAAGGUUAAAACUCAAAUGAAUUGACGGGGACCCGCACAAGCGGUGGAGCAUGUGGUUUAAUUCGAAGCUACGCGCAGAACCUUACCAACACUUGACAUGUCUGUCGCGAGACUCAGAAAUGAGUUUCUUCGGUUCGGCCGGACAGAACACAGGUGCUGCAUGGCUGUCGUCAGCUCGUGUCGUGAGAUGUUGGGUUAAGUCCCGCAACGAGCGCAACCCCUACUUCUAGUUGCCAUCAGGUUAUGCUGGGAACUCUAGUAGAACUGCCUGUGAUAAACAGGAGGAAGGUUGGGAUGACGUCAAGUCCUCAUGGCCCUUACGUGUUGGGCUACACACGUGCUACAAUGGCGAUAACAGUGAGAUGCAAGUUGGCAACAACAAGCUAAACUCUAAAAGUCGCCUCAGUUCGGAUUGCACUCUGCAACUCGAGUGCAUGAAGCUGGAAUCGCUAGUAAUCGCUCAUCAGCGCGGAGCGGUGAAUACGUUCCCGGGUCU
rnacentral:rRNA from 1 species